rnacentral:rRNA from 1 species
AGGAGAGUUUGAUCCUGGCUCAGGACGAACGCUGGCGGCGUGCCUAACACAUGCAAGUCGAACGGAGUAAGAAUUUCGGUUUUUACUUAGUGGCGAACGGGUGAGUAACGCGUGAACAACCUGCCUUCCUGAGGGGGAUAACACCUGGAAACAAGUGCUAAUACCGCAUAAGACCACAGGGCCGCAUGACCCAGGGGUCAAAGGAGCAAUCCGCAGGGAGAGGGGUUCGCGUCCCAUUAGCUGGUUGGCGGGGCAACGGCCCACCAAGGCGACGAUGGGUAGCCGAGCUGAGAGGCUGAUCGGCCACACUGGAACUGAGACACGGUCCAGACUCCUACGGGAGGCAGCAGUGGGGAAUAUUGGGCAAUGGGCGCAAGCCUGACCCAGCAACGCCGCGUGAGGGAAGAAGGUCUUCGGAUUGUAAACCUCUGUCCUAUGUGACGAAGGAAGUGACGGUAGCAUAGGAGGAAGCCCCGGCUAACUACGUGCCAGCAGCCGCGGUAAUACGUAGGGGGCGAGCGUUGUCCGGAAUUACUGGGCGUAAAGGGUGCGUAGGUGGCACUUUAAGUUGGAUGUGAAAUCCCCGUGCUUAACAUGGGAGCUGCAUCCAAUACUGGAGAGCUAGAGUGCAGGAGAGGUAAGCGGAAUUCCUAGUGUAGCGGUGAAAUGCGUAGAUAUUAGGAGGAACACCAGUGGCGAAGGCGGCUUACUGGACUGUAACUGACACUGAGGCACGAAAGCGUGGGGAGCAAACAGGAUUAGAUACCCUGGUAGUCCCCU